rnacentral:rRNA from 1 species
GGGCCCGCACAAGCGGUGGAGCAUGUGGUUUAAUUCGAUGAUACGCGAGGAACCUUACCAGGGCUUAAAUGUAAGUUGCAUAAGCUAGAGAUAGCUUUUUCUUCGGACUACUUACAAGGUGCUGCAUGGUUGUCGUCAGCUCGUGCCGUGAGGUGUCAGGUUAAGUCCUAUAACGAGCGCAACCCCUGUUGUUAGUUGCCAUCGAGUAAUGUCGGGAACUCUAACAAGACUGCCGGUGCAAACCGUGAGGAAGGUGGGGAUGACGUCAAAUCAUCACGGCCCUUACGUCCUGGCUACACACGUGCUACAAUGGCUAGGACAGACGGCCGCAAACCCGCGAGGGGGAG